AGAAUAAUUAAGUAGCGGGGUGACGGCGUACCUUUUGUAUAAUGGGUCAGCGACUUAUAUUCUGUAGCAAGGUUAACCGAAU
rnacentral:rRNA from 1 species